CCUACGGGUGGCAGCAGUGAGGAAUAUUGGUCAAUGGCCGAGAGUCUGAACCAGCCAAGUCGCGUGAAGGAUGACUGCCCUAUGGGUUGUAAACUUCUUUUAUAAAGGGAUAAAAUGAGGCACGUGUGCCUUUUUGCAUGUACUUUAUGAAUAAGGAUCGGCUAACUCCGUGCCAGCAGCCGCGGUAAUACGGAGGAUCCGAGCGUUAUCCGGAUUUAUUGGGUUUAAAGGGAGCGUAGGUGGGAUGUUAAGUCAGUUGUUAAAGUUUGCGGCUCAACCGUAAAAUUGCAAUUGAUACUGGCAGUCUUGAGUACAGGUGAGGUAGGCGGAAUGCGUGGUGUAGCGGUGAAAUGCUUAGAUAUCACGAAGAACCCCGAUUGCGAAGGCAGCAUACGAAACGGUGACUGACAUUGAGGCUCGAAAGUGUGGGUAUCGAACAGGAUUAGAUACCCUUGUAGUC
rnacentral:rRNA from 1 species